rnacentral:rRNA from 1 species
GUGUCAGCGGCGGACGGGUGAGUAACGCGUGGGAACGUGCCCUCUGGUUCGGAAUAACUCAGGGAAACUUGAGCUAAUACCGGAUACGCCCUUUUGGGGAAAGGCUUGCUGCCGGAGGAUCGGCCCGCGUCUGAUUAGCUAGUUGGUGAGGUAACGGCUCACCAAGGCGACGAUCAGUAGCUGGUCUGAGAGGAUGAUCAGCCACACUGGGACUGAGACACGGCCCAGACUCCUACGGGAGGCAGCAGUGGGGAAUAUUGGACAAUGGGCGCAAGCCUGAUCCAGCCAUGCCGCGUGAGUGAUGAAGGCCUUAGGGUUGUAAAGCUCUUUUAUCCGGGACGAUAAUGACGGUACCGGAGGAAUAAGCCCCGGCUAACUUCGUGCCAGCAGCCGCGGUAAUACGAAGGGGGCUAGCGUUGCUCGGAAUCACUGGGCGUAAAGGGCGCGUAGGCGGCGUUUUAAGUCGGGGGUGAAAGCCUGUGGCUCAACCACAGAAUGGCCUUCGAUACUGGGACGCUUGAGUAUGGUAGAGGUUGGUGGAACUGCGAGUGUAGAGGUGAAAUUCGUAGAUAUUCGCAAGAACACCGGUGGCGAAGGCGGCCAACUGGACCAUUACUGACGCUGAGGCGCGAAAGCGU